rnacentral:rRNA from 1 species
AACGAACGCUGGCGGCAUGCCUAACACAUGCAAGUCGAACGAGACCUUCGGGUCUAGUGGCGCACGGGUGCGUAACGCGUGGGAACCUGCUCUUAGGUUCGGAAUAACUCCCCGAAAGGGGUGCUAAUACCGGAUAAUGUCUUCGGACCAAAGAUUUAUCGCCUUUGGAUGGGCCCGCGUUGGAUUAGCUAGUUGGUAGGGUAAAAGCCUACCAAGGCGACGAUCCAUAGCUGGUCUGAGAGGAUGAUCAGCCACACUGGGACUGAGACACGGCCCAGACUCCUACGGGAGGCAGCAGUAGGGAAUAUUGGACAAUGGGCGAAAGCCUGAUCCAGCAAUGCCGCGUGAGUGAUGAAGGCCUUAGGGUUGUAAAGCUCUUUUACCCGGGAUGAUAAUGACAGUACCGGGAGAAUAAGCUCCGGCUAACUCCGUG